AGCGAACGCUGGCGGCAGGCCUAACACAUGCAAGUCGAACGAACUCUUCGGAGUUAGUGGCGGACGGGUGAGUAACACGUGGGAACGUGCCUUUUGGUUCGGAAUAACUCAGGGAAACUUGUGCUAAUACCGAAUGUGCCCUUCGGGGGAAAGAUUUAUCGCCAUUAGAGCGGCCCGCGUCUGAUUAGCUAGUUGGUGAGGUAACGGCUCACCAAGGCGACGAUCAGUAGCUGGUCUGAGAGGAUGACCAGCCACACUGGGACUGAGACACGGCCCAGACUCCUACGGGAGGCAGCAGUGGGGAAUCUUGCGCAAUGGGCGAAAGCCUGACGCAGCCAUGCCGCGUGAAUGAUGAAGGUCUUAGGAUUGUAAAAUUCUUUUACCGGGGACGAUAAUGACGGUACCCGGAGAAGAAGCCCCGGCUAACUUCGUG
rnacentral:rRNA from 1 species